rnacentral:lncRNA from 1 species
UUUUGACUGAUUUUUUUGCGGGAAUAAUUUUUUUAUAUUCAAUCAUAGUGCCAAAAACAUGUAUGUAAAAUUUCAGAUCAAUCGGACAACGUUUACCCACUCAAAUGAAAUUUUUUUGAACAAUUUUUCUGGGUAAAACUGCCGUUUAUGCUUUAAAAAAUAGAGAUCAGUUUAGAAAUCAACCAAGAACACCCAAAACGCCCAAAAUCUGAUACAAAAUGAUACGGGGUUGCGCGCGGACCAAGAUCGAGUUGCCAAGUCACGAGAAACUCCUACGAAAACCCUAAACAAUUAGAUCUGAAACGAAACAGAAAAAUUAAAAGAUUAGAACUUUGAAUUUCCAGAUCUGAAAUAAAAUCCCCAAAUCAGCAAAGAAUCAAAUUGAGAAUAGAAAUAAGUGUUAGGGUUCUUGAAACCCUCAAGGAGAUUGUGAUUCUGCCCAAUUGAACACCAAGAUAGUUUUUCCCAAAUUUCGACAAUCUAAUUUCACCCAAAAAGAGUAUGGAAAAACCCUAGAAAUUGGGGAUUUUUGGGCUGAUUCCUUAAGAUAGAAAAAG